rnacentral:rRNA from 1 species
UACGAAGGGGCUAGCGUUGUUCGGAAUUACUGGGCGUAAAGCGCACGUAGGCGGAUAUUUAAGUCGGGGGUGAAAUCCCGGGGCUCAACCCCGGAACUGCCUUCGAUACUGGGUAUCUUGAGUUCGGAAGAGGUGAGUGGAAUUGCGAGUGUAGAGGUGAAAUUCGUAGAUAUUCGCAGGAACACCAGUGGCGAAGGCGGCUCACUGGUCCGAUACUGACGCUGAGAUGCGAAAGCGUGGGGAGCAAACAGG